rnacentral:lncRNA from 1 species
GCCGAUCGUGUCUAUCAACCGCGCCUUGUUCGCCUGAGCUUAUCAGUCAAAUCUGUCAGUUAUUCACUAGUGUUUUCCAUUCACAAUAAAUCAUCCGACAAUACUUUGAAUCAAUGGCUUACCUAGCAACAUAGCAGACUACUGGAUGUCACUAGCUAGAUCACAGGAGCCACACGAUCUUGGUGAUGCAUAUGCAUGCAUGCGUGCGUGUAUAUAUGCUCGCCUAAUAACUAGUAGCUUUCUAGCUUUGUGGCCAUGAACGAACAACGAACAUCUAGUCAGGUCGUCAUCAAUCUCAAUCAUGCAAAGGAUUCGUCUGGCGGCCGGUUGAUUGAUAUAUAUGAUGCUAACAGUCAGAUCCUGCCUGACUGCCUGUGUCAAGCAGUACGUCAAGCUGCUUGUGGUGGCUAGAAAUGGUCAUCUGGAAC